UCAGGAGUGGGGAUUUUGGGGACUAAUAGGCAGAACAAGAAGAAAUAGUGCUGUGUCAACUAUUCUUAUACAUGUUUCUAUAACAGAAAGGGUUGACACUAAAGGAAGUUCGGGAGAUGGAUUUUCUUUAAAAGGUGAUUGAUGAAAAAAUGCGUGUGAUUACAUUCUCACUAGUGGUUUUUCGGGAGGCAAAAUCUGAUGUCAAUAUCAAUGGGUACUUAAUUCCAAAAGGUUGGAAAGCAGUUGUGUGGUUGAGAUCAGUUCACCUUGAUCCUGAAAUACAUCCUAAUCCAAAGGAAUUUACCUAUUCUGAAUUGAGUCAUGCAUUCUGCACUUGUAUAUGUGCUUUAUGGUUUAAUUUUGAAUUUGGUGAUGCUUAUUCACAGAAAGAACACAAAGUGCAGAGUGUGUGGUAAGGGAGGCAUACUAACCAUUCAUUAACCAUCCACCAUCAGAAGAAAUGUAUGAUUUAGAAAUGACAAGAUCAAGCUCUGCCAACACCUGCACCAUCUCCAAUA